rnacentral:lncRNA from 1 species
CUAAGUCUUAUAUGAAAUUUGAAGGUUGGAUCUAUCCUGGAUUGAUCUAACAUAUAAGGAUAUUUUAUCUUUGAUAGACUUAUAUAAUUUGGUAAGUUGAGAUCAGAGUGUGCAGCAAAAGUGUGAUAGGUUAAAUUGAUUAAAAAUAUUAAUUCUUUGAUUUCGAAGAUAUUAUGGAAUACAUUAGUUGUAAAUAAAGAAUGA